ACACUCCUCCGAAUGCUGAAGGAAAAACGCUCAAAAUCUCAUUCUUCAGGGGGAAGCGUUGCCACUCCGAGGUGCCCACUGGGAACGAAUCCCAAAGCCACGAGCGCCUGCCUAGUGGGGAAUGUGAACUGUUAUCCUGAGAGUCGUCCUUCUCUCUCCCUGGUCCAGGACAGAAAAUACUGAAUAGACAGGAAUUUCUGAAGUCUAAACGCCUCCAAUGAUAACAGGAGUGUUAUUGGAAAGGGAACAAGCGAGAAGACACAGUCUUCGAGGAGUUAAGUUUUGCUAAUCUAAUGCCACGUGCACAGUAAGAAGCUGGCAAGAUGGGCCAAUCAACUGGGAAGCCUAUUUGCAUAAGAAGAUUAGGGUGGGGCGACCAGCCUUCCCCACGCACUAUGUAAACGUCAUAACUGAUCGAACCAAUCUAUGACCCCUAUGUAAAUCAGACACUGCCUCCUCAAACUGGUCUGUAAAACUCAGCACAUUCACUGCCAGCCGACCCUUUUCCGCUCGGAGACCCCUUCCUCUAUGGAGGAACCCGUUUCUCUUUCUCUUCUUCCUAUUAAACCUCCGCUCCUAAACUGA
rnacentral:lncRNA from 10 species